ensembl:lncRNA
GUGAGCUGUCAACAAUCUGCCAUUGUUUUAACACCGGAUCAGGGAUGUAGACAAGAAUGACUCCUAAGCAAUUGAGUUGUUUUGUUGUUGGAUGUAAUAAUGAACGUAGCAGUUGUCCUACUCUUGACAUCUGAACCACUGAAGACACAGUGGAUUACUUUUGUUUUUGAAGGGAAUGCGCCGAUCCCCGAUUUGCCUAAAUGCAUCUAUGUUCCCGCAAAUCAUUUGUGAUCCAGCUUCACCUACAGAAGAAGAAGGUGCACCAAAACCUGUAUCCAUGGAAACUGCCAAGAGCCAAUCAGGAGUCCUUGAAGUGCAUCAUGUGACCCAG